UGGGGAAUAUUGCACAAUGGGGGAAACCCGUCGAUGCAGCGACGCCGCGUGGAGGAAGAAGGUCUUCGGAUUGUAAACUCCUGUUGUUGGGGAAGAUAAUGACGGUACCCAACAAGGAAGUGACGGCUAACUACGUGCCAGCAGCCGCGGUAAAACGUAGGUCACAAGCGUUGUCCGGAAUUACUGGGUGUAAAGGGAGCGCAGGCGGGAAGACAAGUUGGAAGUGAAAUCCAUGGGCUUAAACCCAUAAACUGCAUUUGAAACUGUAUCUCUUGAGUGUCGGAGAGGUAGACGGAAUUCCUAGUGUAGCGGUGAAAUGCGUAGAUAUUAGGAGGAACACCAGUGGCGAAGGCGGUCUACUGGACGAUAAC
rnacentral:rRNA from 1 species